CAUUCCUUUUUGGUGUGCACAUCUUAUCCCAUGCUACUGGAGGUAGCCUGUAUAUGCUUAUCCACAUCACAUCCAUGCCAAUGACAAUAUAGCAAACUGAUUUUAGUGGCCAAAAGAGUUCAUUUCUAAGGUCUUGUCGAUUGCCCAACAGCUUAUAAACUGCUACCUAAAUUUACAUUUUAAAACUUAAUUUUGAUAUAAUUUUAACGCUGUUUCUUUUCCAGCUUGGUUAUCUAGGACUUCAAGAAUGCAAAUAAAAAAUUACCUUUCAAGUUUUAGUCGCUAAUAAAUCGUAAUAGCUUAUGACGAGCUCUAUGCCGACCAAUGUAGACCCUAGCCACUCUAUGGAUUAAUUUGCACCGUGGAUCCGCAUUGGUCAUCCAUUCAUUCUUCAUUACCAAGAGCAGCUGAACCACGUCGGUCAUCCCACUACAGAAACGAUCUUUUUUUAUGCUAGUGCCCAAAACAUAAAUAUUUAGAUUAAAAACAGAUACUAAAGCAUCUUUAGUCCAAAUCCCUAGAAACAUCUUUAGUCCCGAUUGGUGUUAUCUCUGUUAAUAUUACCAACCAGUACUAAAGAUGUAUUUUUAGUAUCAGUUGGUAUCACCAACCUAGACUAAAGAUAUUUUUAGUAUCGGUUACUUACCAGUACUAAAGAUGUUUCCAGGGUUAGUUCAAUAAGAAAACAUCUCUAUCCAAGUCAGAUGUAUGUAGUAGGUGAGAUGAUAAUGCGCGUGAGAACUGAGGUGGGAGAUCUUGAGUUUAAAUCACACAUCCCACAUAUUAUUUUCGAUUUAGUAUGCAUCUUUUUUACCGGCUCUUUCAACCGGUACUUACAAAUACAACCGGUAAUAAAGGGGAUGUGAACCGGUUUUGAAGCUCCUUUUCUCCAGCGGUGAUCAGUUCAAGCAGAAGAGGCUGAAUUUUAUCCAUGUCGAUAUUUCUUAUGCUUCCCGUUGCUGUAAUAGUGUUGCCUAUGAUCUUGUUAAAAUGGGCGCUAGUUGGAACCCGGGUCAAUCCAUUGUUUGGGUCGACCCCCUCCCAGAUUCUGUAAAUGCCUUUGUGGUUCGUGAUAUCACUGAACCUGCUGGGUGAAUAAAAAGGCAUCGAUGAAGUUAAAAAAAAAAUGGGCCCAAAGCGUUGUGCUUGGUGGCAGGCAGCAGGCUGUAGUGGGGAUCCUCAAAUCAGCUCAUCCUGUGAAGAAAGAGCUAACCAAGGAGGACACACAACACAGUAUCCGAAUCUCGUGGGUGAUUCAUUUCAUCAAAACUAGAGCGGCUCGCAACUCAUGUGGCCUAUUUGAUAGAGCUCCAACUUCUAAAUUUAGCUUCGGAAGUUGGGUUUGAAAUGGAGUUGUGGAGCUGCCUAAACUCAGCUCCACAACUCUAGUUCAUUCUAUGAGAGAGCUCCACUCAACUGUGCUCCUAUUUUAAGUGGAGCUGAAACUGUUUGGCUGAGCUCCAGCUCUAGGAGAGAUGGAGCUAAAGCUGGAGCUGUGCCAAACAGACCCAAUGAAAAAUACUGGGAUCAAUGGUCAGCCAAAAACAUAAAAGUCUUUUAUACGUCCCCUGACUGUCCUCUCUUUUUAACUACUGCUAUCUCUAUUCUAAAAUAUAAUCAUUUUUGCAAAUGUUCAGAUAAAUUUUGGAAAAUGCAAAAAAAAACUUGUAUUUUGGAAAUUAUCUAUAUAUAUUUUUGAAAAUGUAUAGAAAAUGUUUAUAUUUUGGAAAGGAGGGGUAUUUAGGUGUAUAUCUAGUCAUGAAAAAUCCAUAGUAUAUUUGACAAAUACACACGUGUUGCAAUCGGUCAUGCGUUCUCGGGCAUUCGGUCGACUACAACCAGGUCAGGUGGGAGGACGUGGCAUUCGGCCUCGUUGCUAAGAAUCAAAUAUUCGGCGCCAUAUCAGCUAUACCCGGACCCAAAGGAGCUACUCCGAGCCAAACUUGGUUACCUGUUCUUCGAACCAAAAAAGGAGGGAGAAAGCGUUGUUGGGGGGGGGGGGGGGGCGGAGCCUCACGCAAGUGGCUUCGCUCAAGCAUCGGCGGUGGGGCGGUGAACGCGUAGUCCUCCAGCGACGAGGACGGGAGAUCGCCGGCCGGUGUCGUUGCCGCUCGACCGCCCAGUUGCCCGGCACCAUCACAGCUCAAGCCGCCCGCCGCCCACCGCCCGACACCAUCGCCGAUCGACCCGCCCGCCGCCCGCCGCCAUCUCUGCUCGACCCGCCCCGCCCGCAGCCCGGUGCCGCCGCGUUUCGGGCCGCCCCACCACCUGGCGCCGUCGCCGCUCGACCUGCCCGCCACCCGCCGCCCGUCGCGUCGCCGGGGCUCCUCCACCGCCGCCGCUGCGUGAGGAAGCUGGAGAAGGAGGCCGCGCUGGCGACGAAGGGGAGAGAGGAGAGAGGGCCGUGCCUCCAGAUCCGGAGCGCCGCGCCAUCCCCAACUCCCGCUAGCCGUUGAUCGGAAGAUAGGAGGAGAGGAGGAGAGAGAGGAGAGGAGCCGUCACCGGCGCUGCUUGGGCCACGCGACCACCACUUCGCUCGGUGCCGGCGCUCACCUCGCUUCCUCCACCGAGUAGUGGAGUUGAAAAGGUAAAGGAAAGAAUAAAGAAAACCAAUGCAGUGGAGUUGAAAAGGUAAAGGAGAGAGAUGGUGGGACCCACCACUACUUGUAGCUUGCAUUGUGGAGCAUGUGACUAGCACUGUUCUUGAUCUGUGUGGUAUGAGAGGACCGGUAUAAUUUGGUGGCACACUGUAAAUGGCCUCAUACUGAAAGCUAUUGUUCUUCCCAGCAAAGUCUCCAAAGCGAAUCAAAGUAUCCUGAACGAAAUAACAAAAAUUAUUGCCGGCCCAAAGAAUGCCCAGCUAUAAAUACCCCAUCUCACCAUGAAUACCAAGCACCAGAAAGCCAUCUUGCUCCCAGGUUCCCAACCACACAGCACCCAAAAACAAUUAGUUCCCCAGCUCCAGGGGUGGGCCCAAGGGGUAGUCCUGGUAGGCCCAGGACUACCCUAAAAUUUGGCCCAGAGACCCCUAGGUAUUCAUUUUUUUUGGCCCACGAAAAAAGCCUAGCCCAUCAAACAAAGAAAACCCUGACUCCUCUCCAGUCUGGUCGUCUCCCCCCGUGCGGCGUGCGCUCUCUCCCCUCCCACUCGACGGCGUCACGGCGACGGCGCUCCCACGACGCGAGCCAGCAGGCCGGCCGCCGGCGUGACUCCGGCGCUCCCGCCCCCGCCGCUCCUCCCGCCGGCCGCCGCUCCUCCCGGCUGGUCGGCUCCCGCGGUCCCGCCAGGCGCACGCGCUCAGCCGUGGCGGCAGCCCCGUGCCGGCGCCCGCACGGCCGCGUCCUCUCUCCGUCCCGCCGCGCCGUCCGGCCGUCGCCCAGUGGCCUCCCGCAGGCCACAGUCCUGCUCCCGGCGUCCCACUCCCGGCUCCCGCCCUGCCCGAGCCCGACAGCCGACGCAGCGACGCUGCCAGCGGCUAGCGCAGCAGCGCCCAGUCAGCAGCCGCCCAGGCCGGCCGGCGGCCGGCGCCACUCCAUCUCCGGCUCUUCGCCUCUCCGGACUCCGGAGUCCAGGAGAUUGAGGCAUGGAGAAGUCGAGCAUUCCAUUGCUUUUUCAAAAGCAUGCAGCAAAAAAAAAAUGCUUGUGAACUUCUUGCAAAAAAAAAAUUACAUUUUGAUUUAGGCCUACCCUGGGUUCAAAUCCUGGGUCCGCCACUGCCCAGCUCUCACCACCAUGGCCACCAAUGGCUCCUACUACGUACAUCCAAAUCAUCCCCAGCAGCAUACUCACUGAAGGCAAGGAGUUCAACUUUGUAAACUCUGCCUGCACCACAUAUACAAUAUAUGCUCAAAACCAAGCCAGUAGCAGAUCCUAGACAAUGUUGCUUCUACUGGGAUAGGUGGGCUGACUGUCAACAGCUGGCCGGUGUGUAAGAUCAACGUGUGUUUUGAUUCUUAUUCUGUGAUGAACAAUGUGUGUUUAGGACUCUUAGUAUGAGUUUGGUUCGUGGCUUUAGGCUACCUACCUCAUGUAUAAAUAGAGGGGGAGCGUGAGGCUUCCCGUUAUCGCUUUUGAGAGCAAUUGAGUUGUUAGUUUAGUUAGGAUUUCGAGUUCAGUCGAGAUUUUUGUAAGGAGUGCUGUUGGUGCACUUUGUAAACACAGAGAGAAGCAAUAAAGUUGUCAUCUAUUUUGAGAGUUCUUC